GGGAAGGUGGCUCAGUGGUAGAGCACUUGCCUUGCAUGCAUGAGGCCCUGGGUUCGA
rnacentral:tRNA from 1 species